rnacentral:ncRNA from 1 species
UACAUUCGCAGCGCUUUUGGUUCCGGUUUAGGGUUAACCUAUCUGGAUUAAAAGGGAAUACGGUGUAAUUCCGUAACUGUCCCGCAGCUGUAAGCUCUGUAACGGUGUUCAAAUCUAAGCCACUUUUCUAAAACCUGUAAAGGGGGAGAAUGGGAAGGCAGGAUAUCCGGGAGUAAGUCAGAAGACCUGCCACGAGUAAUAAAUUUCA